UUUUCUUUUGCUGACGUAACGUCGCCGCGACGCGUGCGCGUCGUCGUUACGUUGGAGUGUAUCAGAGCCUCAAGGAUCGAAUUGCAGCAAGCGAGUG
rnacentral:lncRNA from 1 species